rnacentral:lncRNA from 1 species
GCUUGUUCUGCCUGGCAAGAAGAGGCUCCAGGUAGACAUUAUUACAGCCUCUCAGUACUUAAGGCCUACGGGAAAAACAGUGGCAGAAAAUUUCACCGGGAUGUAUAGUAGUAACACAAUAAGGGGGAAUGGCUUUAAACGAAAAGAGGGGAGGAGCAGGAAGAAAUUAAUUACUCGGAGGGCAGUGAGGCGUGGGCACAGCUGCCCGGAGAGCUGUGGUGGCCCAUCUCUGGAGGUGCUCAAGGCCAGGCUGGAUGGACCCUGGGCAGCCUGAACCUGAGUUCCAGCCCAGGAGCUUGGAACUGGGGGGGUCAAUAAGAUCCCUCUCAACACAAACCAUUCUAUGAUUCUAUGUCAAACAGCAUUUCUCAGUGUUUCCAUACAUGGACACAUUCAUAUGUACAUUAAUUUUGUGCCUGAAUACAACUCAAGUCUUUAUGUGCAUCACGAUGUUUGGUUCAGGCUCAUAAGGAAAAAAGCAAUAAAAGCCAUCUCAAUUACAAAGUCCACAUGACCGUUGCUUAUUUUCAAACCUUCAGGUUUCAAGGUGUGAUGAGGGAGCAUUUCAAUCACAAUUAAUACCAAAAUGAAUAAUGACAGAAGAGGAAUGUAGACACUAAUAAGCUAUGCUGCCUCUGGAGAAACAGAAUCAAUAGCAACAUGAGACAUUAGGGCCUUCUUCAUCCCUGUGCAGUCCAGCCUGCCAGUAGCUGCUCUUCUUUCCACACCAGGCAGCAAAGAAGGGAGAACAGACAGUCCAUCUGCCCACCAUGUCCUUCUUCUCAUCUCCACUGCAGUGUAACAGCUCAGUCAUCUGGAUAACAGGGCAUGGAUUUCAGCAGGGGCACAGAACUGGAAGAGCACAGCGCACAUCACCUGGGCUGCUUCUGAGGCCACUGAAAUUCUGCAUUAUGAAUUACAGGUUUUAUGUUUGUGUCUGCGCUACUGUUCUAUUUGUUUAUUACCAGCUAUUCCGUUCAUAGUUACAGGCAUAACGCUUUCAGGAAUGACUUUUCAGGCUCCAGGUCUAUGUGCAGAGUAACAAAGCAGACAAAUCUGUUGAUGAGAUGUACGGAAGUUUCCCAAGAUACCUCUGGAUGAUAAGAAGAACAUG